ensembl:snoRNA SNORD58 Small nucleolar RNA SNORD58
UGGCAGUGAUGACAUCUUAGGACACCUUUGGAUUAAAGAUGAAAACACCAAUCAAAACUGAGCCAA